CACAAGCAUCCGUGGGUUGAAAUUGGACGAUUUCGUCAACUGCAAUGGAAGCAGGAUAAAUCCCACGGAAUAGAUCGGUGCAAGGAAGCGAAAUGGCGUGAUAGUCUCUUUAGUCGCUGAAUCACUGUGAUUGGUGUUGUAACAAUCGACGAGUGCCUGAAAGAAAUUCACCCAAUCACGAAACACUGACGAUGCUACAGUGCUUCAACUUUCAUCUAGUCGUAGAAUCUUUUGGCGUAAAAUGCAUGCCCCUAAUUUAUAGUCUUGAGUGACCUGAAUCUGAUUUGACCGUCCAGUUGCUGUAGGCUUGUCAUAUUAAUGUAGAGCUUGUAAAACCAACUACCGUCAGAUUGAAGUUGGCAUGAAAUAACAUUCAUGUGUUUGGAGUUCAACAUAUUACAUGAACUCGCAAUGUUUGGGUCUCUAGCCAUACCCAAUUAAUGUGUAUGGCUGUGUGUGUGUAUAUAUAUAAUCAUAUUUAUUCAGUGAUGUUAAUUGCUGAUACAGCAGUCAGUUAUACUACCAUCAUGUGUCUGGGAAGAAAUUAAUAUUUAUGUGACUCACAAUCCUUAUUGUUUGUUAUAAACCGUUGCUUACUUUUGAGUCGGAUGAAAAAUGAGGGUCACUACAGUAUUAUUACCAAUGUGGCGGGUGUUCACAAAGCAAGAUUUUUGUUUUUGUUAUGAAUCAACAGGUAUGGUAAUUUAUCGUGGGGAAAACCUGACUGUUUAUUGGAGUCCAAUGAUCAUUUAGUAUAUAUACAUGAAACUCUUUACUCCUUAACUGCCUCUUGUCUGAGAAGGGAGUUUGUAUGACUCUUAGAUGAGCCAAUGAGAAAGCAGGUGUUGCGUUAAAAAAUUUCAUUGAUUGGCAAAUAAAAAUAUCAAAAGUUCUUUUACAUUCGAAUAAUAAGAGUAAGGAAUUUUUUUUUAAAACAUGUUUUAUGAUAGUUGAAGUAUCAUAUUUUAACAAACACUUUUACAUGGUACACGCUUGGUGUCAGUCUGAAAUUCGCAAUCAUGUAUAUUCUCUACCCGCAUUUGCUUGCCUACUGGAUAAUUCAUUUCUACGUAACCUCUCCUUCCUUUGAGUGGGUCAUCGUGAUUCGGCCAUUCCACUGCUGGCUGGUAGUUGAUUGGCUGACAGUCUAGAGGGGAGUGUCUAAGGAAUUGUUAUCCGGUCAUUAAAGCGAUGGAACUGUAUAAUUGUUUGCAGCCUACCUUUAGACCAAAAUAACUACCAAAAUACAUGGUAUAUCGAGAGAAUGGUUAACAGUAGUUAAACACGAUUGUGAUUACUUUCCGCUUACCUUGUUCUCAACUCAUCAAGAAAUAUCAGGUUUACAGAUUGUCCCCGUGUCUGAACUUAAGCCGUUCUGCUGUUAAAAUAAACUCAGGUAGUUACACCGUGCCUAUAAAGCCCGGUAUUCACAGUGCGAGGCUGCUCGCUGCGAAUGCCUCGUGGCGAAGGCUCGGCUUUGCCUCGGACUGUGAAUACCGGGUGUGCUCGCUACGCGGCGUUCGCGUCGCACAAUUCGAGGCGAGCCGUGUGCUUGUCGGUAGAAGAGCAGUGCUCAAAGGUGCCUCGCCCCGAGCUGUGCGUCAAGUGAAUACCUGCGCUGUCUGCCUCGCAUCGUACAAGACACAAUUCUGCACUGCAAACUCAACAAGCCUCCACAACGAAACUGUCAUCAUGGAUAAUCAUGAAAUGAUCGGACAAUUAGUUAAAUGUUAUGAAACGAAACGUUUACUGUGGGACUCGAAACACCCUGAAUACUAUAACAAACACAAGAGAGAAGACUUGUGGCGCGAAAUAUCGCUAUCAAUGAAUGUUUCUGUAAAAGAUCUGAAAAAGAAGAUGACGUCUCUGUUGGGCUCUUACCGACGUGAAAGGUCAAGGGAAAAGAAAAGUCAAGUUACAGUAUCUGGUAUGUUUAUAAUCAUUAUUUUACUACAUAAUACAAUGUAUUUUGGAAUUUUACUAUGUGAGUUGAAUUGGUUAAAAACUCAAAUGACAGGAUCAGAUGUUUUGUUAUCAUUUAGUGUACUGUAUAAUACAAUGUAUUUUGGAAGUUAAAUUGGCAAGAACGUAAUUGAGGUUUUAAUGUUACAGGCCAAGGAGAUGUUUACAAGUCACAAUGGUUUGGAUAUACAUUGUUUGACUUUCUUUCUGAUAAGGACACGCCAAAUGACACAUUCGAUACAAUGGAGAAUGCUAAUACGCAAAGGGGUCCUGAGGAAAAUCGAGAAGAAUCAUACAAUGAUGAAUCUAUUGUCGAUGAACCCGCAACGGUCGAAGAUGAACCACCGGCGUCUACAAAUACAACAAUGGCGUCUGUAACUGCAACGGCGGCGUCUACGAGUACAGCGACGGCGCCUACUUCUAACAUUUCCCAAGCUAGGAAAAGAAAACGUCGUAAUGAUGCUGACAACGCACAAAAUGAAAUGCUACUUGAUGCAUACUCCAUUUUGAAAAAGACAUCGGCUACUCCUACUGACCACUAUGAAACCUUUGGAAUGCAUGUAGCAAGUGAACUGAGGAAAUAUGACUCCAACACUUUACAUCAUGUGAAGAGGGCAAUAUCAGAUGUGUUGUUCAGAGCAGAUAUUGGAGAAUUUACCCCCAAUCACAACGUCCUUAAUACUUAUGGGUACUACAGUUCUUUCAGUACGCCCACACAGCGUUCGUCUGGAAGUACCUACCAUCCAACUCCUACGCCUCCACCUUCCGAUGCUGUACUUGAAAUUGAAUCAAGGCCUCCUCAACAAGAAGACACUUUACUACACUACCUGACUGACGAAAGAUAAUAACAUGAAAUGUUGUAAUAUGCAAGCUACAUUGUUAAACAUUACAAUAUAUUGAUCUUUUGAAGUACCUAAAUUGUUUUCUUACCUUUAUGUAGUCCCUUAGGGCUUCAAUCAGUGCAUCACAUACUUCUGGAACAAUCACAGAUAUUCGUUGUUUGGAUAUACGAAAGAGGUAUUGCAAACUUGUAAAUGAAUCUCCAGUAGCUAAGAAUCUCAGAGUAAGAGCUAAUCUUUCCUUGGUGGUAAUAUCACGUCGCAUGUACGUGUCACGUUUUUUCACGGCAGGCUCUAUCAAUGUAAGUAAAUGGUCAAAAUCUUGCUUGGACAUUCGCAAGAAAUUUGGCACGUCUUCUUCAAAUCUCACGUCUUCUAGGAGUCUGUUCCCAUAUUCUAACCGAGUUUGAUACAACUUUUUGACCCACCAACGCUUACGUCGCUUUUUCCGUUGUUUUUUUCCAAUAAUCGUCGCCAUCACAAUAUAAGCAGCGGCAGCAACUUGCACAUUUCUAGAACCAAGAGACAUGUUGCAUACUGCCUUCACUACGAAUGCGGGUGGUUCGCGUGCUCGCAGUGAGCGUUCGUGGUUACAAACUAGCUGAAGAGCGUAUGCCUCACCCUGAGGCAGAUGGCGCGAGGCAUUCGCAGCGAGCAGCCUCGCACUGUGAAUACACGCCUUUAAUAUAUUGAAACAAUUGUACUGUUUACCUUAAUUUCGAUCGUUACUCGAGGUGAUGUGGGACAUCUUCACAACACUACGAAUAACGAACGAAUAUUUGUUACUUCGAAGGGAAAGUGUAAGGAAUCGAAUAUAAUACGAAUACAUAGUUAUUCCUUUUGAUAUCUGACAUUUCGAAUUUUCGCACAGGCCUAGCGAUGAACGGCGGACUCCAUGUGUACCGAACUGAACGCAACAGGAGGUUCACCAACUAGGCGCAGCGCGAGUGCGCACUAGGUCUUGAUACAGACUAUACUCGGGUGAGGGGAGAAGGGAAGUCCAACCUUGCCUCGACGCUCGAACGCGCUCUGUCUUCUUAGCGCGUCGCCGCGGAGGUUAUCUGGGGCUUCAUCCACAAUCCCGCAUCUGUGCGGGAGAGAACAGAGAGUUCCGUCAGAACAUGUCAGCGGUAUUUAGUAACCUAGGUAAACAUUAUCGUCUCCGCCUUUACAGCAUCUCAGCAGGUUAUCUAACACAACCACUCGUAAUCAUAAAGUCUUAAAGGGAGUAUGUUCAUUUCCAGGUCAUUAUUUGAUUUAUAUGUUUAACAGACAUAUUGAGUCGCCGAACUUCAACAGAAUGAAAAAAUAUAUAUAUUUAGGGCAUAAUUUUUGCAUAAUUAGCUGGCAAAGUUGAAUUUUCAACAUAUUUGUGCAAUAUGGAUCAGGAGAAUCAAAUGGAAUAAGCAACUGAAAAUUGUUGUUUGAAGGUAAUGCUGCUGGCUGCUGCGUUGUAUGGUUUAAAAUAUUUUCAGAAAAUAAUAUUUAGUUUUAUCAGCAUUUUAAUGUGUUAAAUAUUCUUAUGAUUUUAAAAUGCCAGGUAAAAUUAAAUAAUUUUUUCUGAAAGAAAUUGAAACACAUCACAUAGUACCCAGUAAAAUUGACUUUUAACCUAAAAAGAUCAGGUUUUACUUUCUAUUUCAACCUCCUUAUCCAUGCUGUACAAAAAUGUUCGAAAUGAAACUUUACCAGCAAUUAUGCAAAAAACAUGCGAUAUAUAUAUAUAUUCUUUUUUUCGUAUUGUGAAAGUACAGCCAAUCAAAAAGUCGGAAAAUUUAACCGCGUGGAACGUAAAUGUUAAACAAUUACCUGGUACGGGACAUAGAUCCUUAAAGCAUACCUUUAUGGCAAAUUAUAAUCAUAGCAAUUGUGGUUUAUUAAUCCAUGCAGAGUUUGCGUUCGACCAUUAAUAAUUUGGAACACUGCAGAUUGUUUGAUAUUUCAUUACACGUUACACUCUUGAUAAUAACAUUAAUUUAUAAAUAAUGUUUAAGAGAAACGCUGUUUUCGCAAAUUUAGAGCGCAAUGUUUGGUUAGUUUUUUUCCCCUUGGUUAUCAAACCAGGAUAAAAGUAAAACAUGCAAUAUUUUCUCACCGUUAACGAAAUGGAAAUAUUUCUCUUGGAAAAUAAACUUAGAGAAAUAUUUAUUUCACCAAUUUUUCUGCAACGCAAUACUUGCUGCAUCUAAAGGACUUGCCGAAGUAUAAUUUCUGAUGGAGAUCUCCCGGACGAGGGAGGCCCAGGGCCUCCGCCUGCGCCACGAGUCGCCGCUGGCUCCUCGCCAGAGACAGCUGCGUGUCGCGGCGCGGCCCGACGCGCGAGGGCGUGGCUGCGGGACCUCCCUCCCUCCCUGCCUCCCUGCCACACUGCCUCCCUGCCUCCCUGCGCGCGUGGCCCGUCCCUGGCCAGUCUCUUCCCGCUGCACCGCGCUCGCUCGCAGUCGGGCAGCAAAUAUGUGGAAGAAACGUGGCUUCCGAUUUCAUCCACCUACUUAACCUCGACAGAUAACAUCAAAUAUCUUCUCAAUCAUGUACCAAUAUCAAAGUUUUCUUUUCUGCUAUCACUAGAGACCGGAAAAAUUCGCGGAUUCAUUUCGAGAUAGGCUAGAAUCCAAGCUCGUUCACAUUCAUUCUGGUUCAGUGAUUGGUCAAAAAUACACCUGAAGGACUCUGAGCCGAUGAAAAACCCCGAACAAAAGAAUUAUCGAAUCACAGGCAUCCCGAUUAGCAGGUGUCUCGAGCUAGUAGCCAAUGAUCAGGUGUAAUUCACACAAGUAUACACAGUAUCGUGGAGUCUAUCCGAGAGGUGAUUGAAAACGCGAAUUUUUCCAGUCCUUAGCUAUCACACAUUUUAAAAUUUCCAUAACUCUUUUUUUUUUUUUUAAAUUAAAUAAAUGCGUCGCACUGAUGGAUAGAAAUUUGGAACUUGUAAUAUUAAAUGUAUUUUUUUUUUUUUUUAAUAUUUUGAAACAUCUUUAAAUUUAAUUCACAUUAAUACUUGUUAGGUAAUAAAAAUUGAAGUUCAGUGAUUAAAAAAAAAGUUUUAGACACAUCAUUUGUUUCUUAUACAUGCAUUAUUUUUUAGCACAUUUAUACCUUUAUAACUCCUUUAAAUCCGAUGUGUUUUUCGCCAUUUUUAAAGAUUCGUUCUUACGGAAACGGAUGCCAUUUCCGUUUUCCGUUUAUGGGAGACACGAUUCCGAUUGAAUGAUUCCGUCUUUUGAUUAUUUACUUAUUUAAAUCUGAUCGUUAUGCCAAAUUAUAUUGUAGUGUUUUAUUGGUUGGCUUCUCCUUGAUAAUGUGUUAAGUUUUAAACUUAUUGCAGCUCCAUUUUAAAAUAUCUUUUCUUAGUCUUUUAAUCUUAAUAUCAACUUUGCCUGGUUUUUUUAAUGAAUAAUAUUUUGAGAUCAACUGUUUUAGUAUUUCGUAAUGUUUGACAAGGCUCUGCCAGUUUUAUUUAUCAGCCUGUAGUGUAUUGCAUGUAUUUUUUACAUCCCGUUCUUGAAACUGAACCUCCUUGCACUAUUGUGUUCACAGACGAGACGAGGUAUAGAAAGGAAACUUAGAGCCCAAGUCAUAAUGUUUACCUCUGCUGUCAAUUGCGGACACUGUUAUAAUAUUCGAGUAUCAAAAUGUUAAUAUCACGUUGCUUCUUCUCAACCUCUUACCUUUUAAUUAAGUUCGUUACGCUUCUUAUCCAGGGUGUAACACUAGAAAACCAAAUAUAGAGUGACAGGGUAUAAUUGUAUAAGAAAUCAAGUUUUGACUUGUACACUCUCCUUUUCCCUAUUAUAUUAAAAUCAAAUGUCAUAUCAUAAAAGAAAAAAAAAUGUGUGCUGAAACAUAAUGAGCAGUCUUCCUGUCAGCAGACCGUUGAUAUUAAUUCCACUUUGCCAUUUUUGUGAAUUACAUUAUUUUUUCCCCCUUAUAUGCCUAGAAAUUAUGUAGAAAUGUUUCUUUUAAGGACUAUUGUAACUGUGGCACAGCGAGUGUCAACCGAAAUACUCUGAAAAACCAUCUGAAAUUUCCUGACAGGUUUUCCUGUAAUGUGUGAGGCGCUAGUCUUCGCUCUUCACCAGUCCCUGUACGAGUGCCAGCCGGCGCCAGAGGACAGACGUCGCUCACACGCGACCUAUUUCGUCGACGAUUUGAUUCCGCGCCUUUUGUGAUUCGCAGUUCGCGUUUUUUCCGCCCGCGAUUGGACGAACUGACAUUUUUUUCUUCUUCUUUUUCUUUUCCGGAAUUCCCCUUUUCUCCCCCUUUUCUUUCUUGCCUCCACCUCAGCCUGCCCAUCAUUUCUUUAUUAUGUUGUCAGCACACAGAAAGCCAUGAUUUUGUCUCUCCUCUCUCUUCUUCUCCUCUGCUUUUCGGUCGUGCUUACUUGCAGAAAUGUCUGCUGAUAAACUACAGUAAGAAAAGUUUCGUUUGAAACAAAAUGUUCAAAAUAAAUGCAAUUAUAUGCUACAUUGCAUGCUAAAAAUUGGACAAUACUUGAUGCCAUAAAUAAAAUUUAAAUAAAAUGAAAUCAAACGAACUGAGAUACCAGUUUUAUGAACGUAAAUGUUUUUUCUUUCAAUUUUUGGCUUCUAACACUCGCAAGACAUACAAAUAAACGUACUAGAUAUAGAUAUCGCCUAAAAAAACAACAAAUAACCCACUCUCAUACCAGUGAUUUACUGUGGAUUACUUACUGAUAAUUGUGUGGACAACAGCACCUGCUAUCGUUAAACGUUGUAUUGAACUUCGUACGACACUUUAUGUGGAAAGUUGUGUGGUAUAUUUGAGGAAUUGUUGUUUUAUACAUACGCACGCAUUCGCGCUAAUCUUAACACUUUUAAAAUAUGGCCUGCGAAUGUGUACUAAAUGUUACUUGAAUAUCCCUUGUACCGUCUCAUUCAAGUUAACCACGAGUUAUAAGUAGCUCCAUUGCUAAAAGCAUUAUAUAAAUAGUAACGUUUUAAUUGGUGACCAAUGGAUUUUGCUGCUUCUUAUGGGCGUAAUUUAAGCACUCAAAUGUUUACAAGUGUAGCUUACUCUAAGCGAUGGAAGUAGGUAGGCCUAUAUAUAGUUCAUCCUGGCGCACCGGUGGGUGGUGGGGGAUCCGGGGAUCCGAUCCAGCUACCUUAAGGCUUCGCUUCAUCACCCAUGUUGGAUUACGUCACUUCCGCCAGCCAUACACGCACGAAAAAGUGUCCCGUUACAUUCAUCAACCAUGUACGCAAGAAAAAAUGUCCCGUUACGUUCAUCAGCCAUGUACGCACGAAAAAAUGUCCCGUUACGACGGACAGACCAGCUCGCCAGGACGUCUCGCUAUGAAAAGUAUUAGGCGGUAAUAAACAGCCAGGAGGUAACGAAUAUAAGCCUACUUCUACACGUGUUAUGAACGCCGGAUACAUACGGCCAGGCAACCGUGUGUUUUGGCGCGCUCUACUUCCACGACGCGCAACGGCACCGGCAAGUUUUUAUUACUACCUCCUCUCAAGUUCUGAUCUCCUAAUACUUCACAGCAGAGAAGCGCUGUUGGUCGGAGCCCGUAGGUACUUCCUUCGCACGCCUAACCUAACCUAACCUAAACUAACCUAACCUAACCUAACCUAAUCCAUAUGCUAAUCUAUGCUAACCUAACCUAACCUAACCUAACCUAACCUUACCUAAACUAACCUAACCUAACCUAAACUAACCUAACCUAACCUAACCUAAUCCAUAUGCUAAUCUAUGCUAACCUAACCUAACCUAAACUAAACUAAACUAAACUAAAAUAAACUAAACUAAACUAAACUAAACUAAACUAAACUAAACUAAACUAAACUAAACUAAACUUAACCUAACCUAACCUAACCUAACCUAACCUAAUCCAUAUGCUAAUCUAUGCUAACCUAACCUAACCUAACCUAAACUAAACUAAACUAAACUAAACUAACCUAACCUAAUCCAUAUGCUAAUCUAUGCAAACCUAACCUAAACUAAACUAACCUAACCUAAACUAAACUAACCUAACCUAACCUAACCUAAUCCAUAUGCUAAUCUAUGCAAACCUAACCUAACCUAACCUAACCUAACCUAAACUAACCUAACCUAAACUAACCUAACCUAACCUAACCUAAUCCAUAUGCUAAUCUAUGCUAACCUAACCUAACCUAACCUAAACUAAACUAAACUUAACUAAAAUAAACUAAACUAAACUAAACUAAACUAAACUAAACUAAACUAAACUAAACUAAACUAAACUUAACCUAACCUAACC